rnacentral:rRNA from 1 species
GACGAACGCUGGCGGCGUGCUUAACACAUGCAAGUCGAACGAUGAAGCGCCAGCUUGCUGGUGUGGAUUAGUGGCGAACGGGUGAGUAACACGUGAGUAACCUGCCCCCUACUCUGGGAUAAGCCUGGGAAACUGGGUCUAAUACUGGAUAUGACCAAUCACUGCAUGGUGUGUUGGUGGAAAGAUUUUUUGGUGGGGGAUGGACUCGCGGCCUAUCAGCUUGUUGGUGGGGUAAUGGCCUACCAAGGCGACGACGGGUAGCCGGCCUGAGAGGGCGACCGGCCACACGGGGACUGAGACACGGCCCAGACCCCUACGGGGGGGAGCAGUGGGGAAUAUUGCAAAAGGGGCGAAGGCCUGAUGCAGCGACGCCGGGGGGGGGGUGACGGCCUUCGGGUUGUAAACCUCUUUCCCCAGGGACGAAGCAAACGGGACGGUACCGGGGGAAGAAGCCCCGGCUACCUACGU